rnacentral:lncRNA from 1 species
UAGAGGCUGCCCCACUGGUUCUUAAGUAUUUGGUGAAUGUAUAGAAAAGCAUUUUCUGAGUCUAAACUACUGCUAGUUUGAGUCUCAUUUUUCUCCAUUGGCUUUUGUCUUGCUUAUGUUUCUUAGUCUGUAUCUCCCUGGAUCCCCAGAUUGAAUCUUUAUGACCACUAUUUGUUCUUUUACACUUUUUUCCUUGACCCAAUAUUAACCUGCUUUUCUCUAAUUUAGGACUAUGUCCAGCCAAAGUGCAUUAAAGUAAAUCCUGCCAGGUCCUUAAGUACCAUUGUCUAGCAAAUAGUAAUUGUUUACUUUUUAAAGCUUCACUUUUAAAGAAUUUUUAUAUAACUAUUAAUAUGUAUUAUUCAAUCAAAACUUCAAUGAGUGACCAUUUUAUGAAUGAGAAAGUGAGGGAAAAUAUUUUAACACUUAAUCAUUAUAAGAUUCAGAUUAUGGAAUAAAAUGUAUAAAAACCUAAAUAUGUGUGAGAUUCCUUGAAUUCUAUUAUUCAUAAUUUUGAUGCUGCUUGCUAAAAUAAAGCCUUUUUUCCUAUUCACUCAGGGCACUUUCUAUAAUUUGAAAAGUUAUAUU